CCCGCGCCUAGCCCGACGGGGCGAAAAGCCGGUCACCCUGCCGGCCUGGCGCGGACCUUCUCAGGGG
rnacentral:sRNA from 1 species